GUAUAAAACGGUACAGGCUGGCUGCUGUGAUCCUUGGAGUCCUGUCUGUGCUACAAGCUGCUCUCAUCUUCUUUCUCUCUUUUCAGAGAGAGACGAGUUUAAGAGAACCAACUUUGGCAGAACACUAUAGUGACAAACAGGAGCAGAAAAAAACUAAAGAAGAGUGGAUAACAGGGACUUUGAUUCAUCAUGUGGACAGAUACAUUACUCUAAAUCAAUGUUAAUGAUGCUCUGUGUCUGUUGCAUAUCUAUGAAGGAAAUUGUUUUGAUAACACAUCAGCCAAUAACAACUUCACAAAGUCAUGGUUGUGUGUGUUAUCAUGUUCCAGAAGUCUUCCGCCCCCAAGUGGCCAGAAAAUGAAUAAAGGGAAAUUAAUGAAUUAACCAGUCACAUUUGUCAGCCAGUAAACUUUGAGUCCAGCACAACUUAGGUCCCAGGAUGCUAGAUGACAUAGGGGCUUAUUAGAACCUGUAAAAGGUAACUGUUUACAAGUAUUAAACUAACUACCUAUAAUUGAUAGAUGAAUGAACUAUGUAAAUGAUGUGUUAAAGUGAACUGUCUCUUUAGUCACGGACAGGGCAUUUACUCUCUAACUGAGAUGUUUUGGGACCAAUUGGGGGGAUUUGCCACUGCUUCAUGUCAACAGUUACCUUAAUAUAAUACUGUAUGAGGCGUUUUCUUUUGUGGGGUGCAAAUGUUUCACCAAAACAAGUUCCUUCCUGAGAUGAUUUUGGAGAGCCACAUUCGCUGCCUCCAGAGUUUAGCGCCACCCAAGACGAUUGUGAUUGGUUUAAAGAAAUGCAAACAACCCCUGACCAUGUGAUUGGUUUAAAGAAAUGCAAACAACCCCUGACCAUGUUUUUUCCUAUGUGUAGUGUAUGUGUGGAGGGGCCAGACCUUCCUCCACAGCGCUGUAGAGAUAGGUCUGGCAAUGUGAGACUAGGAUUGAUAUGAUAAUCAACUGUUGGUGGUUUGAAUUGAUCAGAUCAUUUUAGACUAUGAAGUGCAACUGGCUACUAUGCAGAUUAAAUAAAUGUAGAUCACUUAAUAAAUAGUAACAAAGUGCCACAUCAUAAUCCAGACUUCUUUUGACUAUGCAGUAACAUUCAAUGACACAGCAGUUUAAGUUGUGAUUGGUUUAAAGAAAUGCUAACAACCCCUGACCGUGUUUAUUCCUAUGUGUAGCGUAGAGUUCAGCUAGAUAUUUAGAAAUGAUGUUCGGGUUUGGGUCAGGCUCGGUCACAUCAGCAUCAUAAGGCAUUUGUUGUAAAAUGGUGCUAGGGCUCAGUGCGCGUGUCUCAAGUGGACAGAAGAGAGAUAGAGAAAGA